UGGCUUAUGUGGAAUGGGUGACCAGGAC
rnacentral:piRNA from 1 species